rnacentral:lncRNA from 1 species
GCCCGAAGCCCCACGUCCCUGAGCUCCGGGUGGUGAGGCCUCGGCUCCCGGUGCCCUUGGCAGCCGCCUUCGGGUUUACAGAGAGAGCCGGCGAGCUCCGCGCCCGGCCCCAUGGGCACCUCUGCUCCUUGAGCUCCGGGGUGUCUGCCUAAGGGGCCCUGGUCUCCGAAGCCACGGAAGAGCGGGUGCAACCUCUCUGAGCGCCCGUACCAAGCCUGCUCUACGGCAGGUGCGUCUCGUGGACACACGCGCGCGACUGUCGGGGUAAGAUCAACACGGAGACUUCGCGCCUCCGCGUUCCGAGAGGCGCUCGGGGCUGCUGCCUCCUCUCAACCACCUUUGCCCCAAAGACCCCAGAAGGACCUAGUGAGUCCAGGCCCCCUUGCCUCUGCCCUUGGUGGGAGACUUGAGGGGCCCGCCGGGUGCUGCCUACAUGACUUGCUGAGCCUCCUCGGGUGUGGGUGUGGCAGGCAGGGGGAGCUGGGAGGCGUGUCCAGGACAGAGGUGACUGACUGGCCGGAGGAGGGGGAGCCCACUGAGGAGAGUGCCAGCUACAUAAGGGCCAGCCCAGCCCAGCCCGGAGCUCUCUGGGAGGUGCCAGGUGCCAGGAUGAAGGCUGCUGCUCUGCUGGUGGUACUGCUGUGCUCAGGUGGAGCCUGGGCCAUAAGAUGCCACAACUGCACGAACCCUAACGGGAACACCUGCUCAGGACCCGUAGACUGCCCCAGCAACGCCAACGCCUGCGCUUCAUAUUUGCUGAAUGUCAAACUGCCAGACAAGACGUUGGACACGGCAAUCAAGACCUGUAUGCAAUCGUGCGAGAGCCUCAACCCCAUGCCAUCCCGUGCUUCAUCCGGAGCUUUAGUCAGCGAUCUACAUGCCUCCAUCUACUGUUGCAGCACCAACCUGUGUAACCGAGCUGGGGGCCCAGGGCCAGGGGCCACCACCGUGGGCCUGAUGCUUGUGGCCAGUGUCCUUGUCACCCUCCUAGGGGCCUCCCUGUGACCCAGAGGUGCGGGACAUGAUUGAGGCAGCACAACCCAGGACACCCAGACCCCUAAGCCCCUGUCCCCAUCAGGCUGUCUGUGAGCUCAUAAAUUGAAGACAGAGUACAGAGGAAGUGGAGGGCCUGGUGGGGUGGUUACAGAGGACCACGCCCAUUCGCCCCAGAUCUUCAAGGCCAACAGAGGCACCCCACCCCAGCACACCAACGCAGAGAACCUCCUGGAGUCUUUGGCUUUUUCUGGGUGUCCUGCCCGGGGCCUUCAGCCAUCAGUGCCAGGCCUACCACAGUCCUCGGGGAGCUGCUCCCCCAGUUGUGCAGAGACUUUCCGUCGCCCUGGGUGGAGUGUGAACCCAAGGCCUGACUUCCAGCCCAGAGCCACUGGCCAGGCUGGGGCUCCACCCGCAGCGUCCCCUUCCUGCGGCACCGCUUGUCCCUGUCCGACCCCCUGCCCGUGCCCCCCACUUCCCCAGGAGUAGCUCUGGAAUAAAG